ACAGCCUGCAACCCGGCUGUAUGAAGCUGGAAUCGCUAGUAAUCGCAGAUCAGAAUGCUGCGGUGAAUACGUUCCCGGGUCUUGUACACACCGCCCGUCACACCAUGGGAGCCAGGAAUGCCCGAAGCCAGUGGCCUAACCGCAAGGGAGGAGCUGUCGAAGGCAGGCCCGGUAACUGGGGUGAAGUCGUAACAAGGUAUC
rnacentral:rRNA from 1 species